rnacentral:rRNA from 1 species
CUAAUACAUGCAAGUCGAGCGGACAGAAGGGAGCUUGCUCCCGGAUGUUAGCGGCGGACGGGUGAGUAACACGUGGGUAACCUGCCUGUAAGACUGGGAUAACUCCGGGAAACCGGAGCUAAUACCGGAUAGUUCCUUGAACCGCAUGGUUCAAGGAUGAAAGACGGUUUCGGCUGUCACUUACAGAUGGACCCGCGGCGCAUUAGCUAGUUGGUGGGGUAAUGGCUCACCAAGGCGACGAUGCGUAGCCGACCUGAGAGGGUGAUCGGCCACACUGGGACUGAGACACGGCCCAGACUCCUACGGGAGGCAGCAGUAGGGAAUCUUCCGCAAUGGACGAAAGUCUGACGGAGCAACGCCGCGUGAGUGAUGAAGGUUUUCGGAUCGUAAAGCUCUGUUGUUAGGGAAGAACAAGUGCGAGAGUAACUGCUCGCACCUUGACGGUACCUAACCAGAAAGCCACGGCUAACUACGUGCCAGCAGCCGCGGUAAUACGUAGGUGGCAAGCGUUGUCCGGAAUUAUUGGGCGUAAAGGGCUCGCAGGCGGUUUCUUAAGUCUGAUGUGAAAGCCCCCGGCUCAACCGGUGAGGGUCAUUGGAAACUGGGAAACUUGAGCGCCAAGAGGAGAGCGGAAUU